UACGUAGGGGGCAAGCGUUAUCCGGAUUUACUGGGUGUAAAGGGAGCGUAGACGGAUGGACAAGUCUGAUGUGAAAGGCUGGGGCUCAACCCCGGGACUGCAUUGGAAACUGCCCGUCUUGAGUGCCGGAGAGGUAAGCGGAAUUCCUAGUGUAGCGGUGAAAUGCGUAGAUAUUAGGAGGAACACCAGUGGCGAAGGCGGCUUACUGGACGGUAACUGACGUUGAGGCUCGAAAGCGUGGGGAGCAAACAGGAUUAGAUACCCCGCCGGCUGACUGACU
rnacentral:rRNA from 1 species